rnacentral:rRNA from 1 species
UCGACGGCAGCGGCACUUCGGUGGCCGGCGAGUGGCGGAUGGGUGAGUAACGCGUAUGCAACCUACCUUUCACAGUGGGAUAGCCCAGAGAAAUUUGGAUUAAUACCGCAUAGUAUGCAGGGCCGUCAUCGGUUUUGCAUUAAACAUUUAUGGGUGAGAGAUGGGCAUGCGUUCUAUUAGUUAGUUGGAGUGGUAACGGCACCCCAAGACCGCGAUAGAUAGGGGCCCUGAGAGGGGGAUCCCCCACACUGGUACUGAGACACGGACCAGACUCCUACGGGAGGCAGCAGUGAGGAAUAUUGGACAAUGGGCGCAAGCCUGAUCCAGCCAUGCCGCGUGCAGGAAGACGGCCCUAUGGGUUGUAAACUGCUUUUAUACGGGAAGAAACCCCCCGACGUGUCGGGGCUUGACGGUACCGUAUGAAUAAGGAUCGGCUAACUCCGUGCCAGCAGCCGCGGUAAUACGGAGGAUCCGAGCGUUAUCCGGAAUCAUUGGGUUUAAAGGGUCCGUAGGUGGACGAUUAAGUCGGAGGUGAAAUCCUGCAGCUCAACUGUAGAAUUGCCUUUGAUACUGGUUGUCUUGAAUCAUUGUGAAGUGGUUAGAAUAUGUGGUGUAGCGGUGAAAUGCAUAGAUAUCACAUAGAAUACCGAUUGCGAAGGCAGAUCACUAACAAUGUAUUGACACUGAUGGACGAAAGCGUGGGGAGCGAACAGGAUUAGAUACCCUGGUAGUCCACGCCGUAGACGAUGGAUACUAGCUGUCCGGGCUUC